rnacentral:rRNA from 1 species
AUUGAACGCUGGCGGCAGGCCUAACACAUGCAAGUCGAGCGAGCGGCGGACGGGUGAGUAAUGUAUGGGGAUCUGCCCGAUAGAGGGGGAUAACUACUGGAAACGGUGGCUAAUACCGCAUACUAUCGGAUGAACCCAUAGGGGAUUAGCUAGUAGGUGGGGUAAAGGCUCACCUAGGCGACGAUCUCUAGCUGGUCUGAGCGGAUGAACAGCCACACUGGAAUGGAGACCCGCCCCAGACGCCUACGGGAGGCAGCAGUGGGGAAUAUUGCACAAUUGGCGCAAGCCUGAUGCAGACAUGCCGCGUGUAUGAAGAAGGCCUUAGGGUUGUAAAGUACUUUCAGCGGGGAGGCGUUACCCGCAGAAGAAGCACCGGCUAACUCCGUGCCAGCAGCCGCGGUAAUUC